rnacentral:rRNA from 1 species
CCUACGGGUGGCUGCAGUAGGGAAUAUUGGACAAUGGGCGAAAGCCUGAUCCAGCCAUGCCGCGUGAUAGAUGAAGGCCCUCUGGGUUGUAAAUAUCUUUUAUCUGGGAAGAAACAAUCUUAUUCUUAAGAUCUUGACGGUACCAGAGGAAUAAGCACCGGCUAACUCCGUGCCAGCAGCCGCGGUAAUACGGCGGGUGCAAGAGUUAUCCGGAUUCACUGGUGCGUAAGGGUGCUGAUGCGUGAGUGGUGAAAGCGCCGAGCUUAACUUGGAAACUGCCAUUGAUACUGCCAGUCUUGAAUGUCGUAGAGGUAAGCGGAAUGUUGCAUGUAGCGGUGAAAUGCUUAGAUAUGUUACAGAACACCAAUUGCGAAGGCAGCUUACUAUGCGAUGAUUGACGCUGAGGCACGAAAGCGUGGGGAGCAAACAGGAUUAGAUACCCUAGUAGUC